UUUCUCCGAGACUAAACUGAAAUGUUGAUUUCAGAUCAUUCAUUGCUUUUUCAUAUUUUCCUAUUUCAGAUUCAGAUACUAUAUUCGAUUCGAGCAUUCAUUAUAAGUUGAAAUGGCCACCAGACAUCGAGACCGCCCGUCAAGGGAGUACACAAUUAUAAGUAUCAGAUGUUUUGAUGACAACAAAAAUGGAAAAAGGUGUUCCAGAAGAACCAAUCAUUUGAGUACAUUUUGCUGGCAGCAUAUUCGCAAAUUCACAGACGGAGAGAUCCGAUGUCUCGUACGGCAAAGGAAUAACCCGGCCGCCCAACGUCGGGUAAAAAUGAUGUGUUCAGCCAGGACUAGAAAGGGCACAAGAUGCUCAAGACGGGCAGUCGAAGGAGAUAUGUGCAAAC